UCCUUCAAGCCGGAUUUGAACCAGCGACCUAAGGAUCACCGUUGUAAAAUCUGCAGUCCUCCGCUCUGCCAACUGAGCUAUCGAGGG
rnacentral:tRNA from 1 species